rnacentral:misc_RNA from 1 species
CCCUUUGGUAAGGCCCGAUACAUCGGUGACGGAGACUAGGGCUUUCUUGGCUGCGUAGGUGAUUAGGGUUUGGAAAUUAUCACCUGCUGGCCGUUCAAGAGUCUGAGAGCGUCUAGCAAUCUCCUUAGCAACUAAAGAGAGGCCGCUAAUGAGCCUCCCUAGGUGCUUAAAAGAGCUCAUAGCUUCGCGCGCCCGGUAACUCGCAACUAUAGUGGAAGUGAUUUUGGAAAUCGAUUUUUUUU